rnacentral:rRNA from 1 species
GACGUAGGGCGCGAGCGUUGUCCGGAUUUAUUGGGCGUAAAGAGCUCGUAGGCGGCUUGUCGCGUCGGCUGUGAAAACCCGCGGCUCAACUGUGGGCGGGCAGCUGAUACGGGCAGGCUGGAGUUCGGUAGGGGAGACUGGAAUUCCUGGUGUAGCGGUGAAAUGCGCAGAUAUCAGGAGGAACACCGGUGGCGAAGGCGGGUCUCUGGGCCGGUACUGACGCUGAGACGCGAAAGCGUGGGGAGCGAACAGG